rnacentral:rRNA from 1 species
UGGGGAAUAUUGGACAAUGGGGGAAACCCUGAUCCAGCCAUGCCGCGUGGGUGAAGAAGGCCUUAGGGUUGUAAAGCCCUUUCACCGGGGAGGAUGAUGACGUUACCCGGAGAAGAAGCCCCGGCUAACUCCGUGCCAGCAGCCGCGGUAAUACGGAGGGGGCUAGCGUUGUUCGGAAUCACUGGGCGUAAAGCGCACGUAGGCGGUCCGCAUAGUCAGGCGUGAAAGCCCCGGGCUCAACCUGGGAACUGCGCUUGAUACUGGCGGGCUUGAGGUUGUGAGAGGAUGGCGGAAUUCCCAGUGUAGAGGUGAAAUUCGUAGAUAUUGGGAAGAACACCAGUGGCGAAGGCGGCCAUCUGGCGCAAUCCUGACGCUGAGGUGCGAAAGCGUGGGGAGCAAACA